rnacentral:lncRNA from 1 species
GAUAGAUCUAGCUCACAGUCUGCAUUUAGGAUGGUAUAGCCAUCCAAUCCCCACAUGGAGGGGAUUGUCGUCGAGUACUCCGGAGUGUCGCGCGACUAGGACCACUUGGAGGUCCGGACCACAUGGAGGUCCGCAGACGGUCCCGGGCUUGGGUGCACUUGGAGCUCCCUCCCCACUUUGGGAUUUGAAGGUGAGUCAUGGGCG